ACUGGGCACGGUGGCACAUGCCUGUAGUCCCAGCUACUCGGGAGGCUGAGGCUAUGGUACCGCUUGAAUCCAGGAGUUCUCGGCUGUAGUGCACUAUGCCGAUUUGGUGUCCGGCACUAAGUUCCAUAUCGAUAUGGUGACCUCCCGGAAGCAGUAGACCACCAGGUUGCCUAAGGAAGGGUGAACUGGCCCAGGUCAGAAAUGGAGCAGGUCAAAACUCCUGUGCUGAUCAGUAGUGGGAUCGCACCUGCGAAUAGCCACUGAACUCCAGCCUGGGCAACAUAGCAAGACCCCAUCUCU
ensembl:misc_RNA Metazoa_SRP Metazoan signal recognition particle RNA